rnacentral:rRNA from 1 species
UACGGAGGGUGCAAGCGUUAUCCGGAUUCACUGGGUUUAAAGGGUGCGUAGGAGGGCAGGUAAGUCCGUGGUGAAAUCUCUGAGCUUAACUCGGAAACUGCCAUGGAUACUAUCCGUCUUGAAUGCGGUGGAGGUGAGCGGAAUAUGUCAUGUAGCGGUGAAAUGCUUAGAUAUGACAUAGAACACCGAUUGCGAAGGCAGCUCGCUACACCUGCAUUGACUCU